rnacentral:rRNA from 1 species
GAUGAACGCUGGCGGCGCGCCUAACACAUGCAAGUCGAACGAUUAAAGCACCUUCGGGUGUGUAUAAAGUGGCGAACGGCUGAGUAACACGUGGGCAACCUGCCCCUUUCAUUGGGAUAGCCACGGGAAACCGUGGAUAAUACCGAAUACUUCGAGGCUUCCGCAUGGAAGACUCGAGAAAGCUCCGGCGGAGAGGGAUGGGCCCGCGGCCUGUUAGCUUGUUGGUGGGGUAACGGCCUACCAAGGCAAUGAUGGGUAGCUGGGUUGAGAGACCGACCAGCCAGAUUGGGACUGAGACACGGCCCAGACUCCUACGGGAGGCAGCAGUGGGGAAUCUUGCACAAUGGGCGAAAGCCUGAUGCAGCGACGCCGCGUGCGGGAUGAAGGCCUUCGGGUUGUAAACCGCUUUCAGCAGGGACGAGGCGAAAGUGACGGUACCUGCAGAAGAAGCCCCGGCUAACUACGCG